CGCAGACUCGGCCUUCCACGCCCCCGGCCUUCCACAGUCCAUAGAAAGAGAUGAAGAAGAGCAGCUGUACAGUUUUUCCAAUUCGAAAAAGAAAAUGAGCUGAAAACGUUUUCCACCACGGAACAAUGGCACAACAGAACCAGUCACAUUUCUCCAUAAAGGCAGAGAAUAUAAAACCAACUUUGAUUACAUUGAUUAAAUAUCAAAACGAGUCCAAGUGCCCCCUUUGUAAAAAGCAAAGAGACUACAGCAUCCUGAUGCCUCGUCUUUAGAGUCAUGAAGGCCACAUUGUCAAGUAUGCAGGGCCUUCCAAGUCAAAUGAAUAGCCAUGACUGUGGAAUUUCCAUGUUGAUGGUAUGCCCAUUUCAUAUUGUAACUAUAUUUUUGUGUAUGU